GAUGAACGCUGGCGGCGUGCCUAAUACAUGCAAGUCGAGCGAACAGACGAGGAGAUUGCUCCUCUGCCGUUAGCGGCGGACGGGUGAGUAACACGUGGAUAACCUACCUAUCAGUCUGGGAUAACUUCGGGAAACCGGAGCUAAUACCGGAUAAUAUAUUGCACCGCAUGGUUCAAUAGUGAAAGACGGUUUUGCUGUCACUAAUAGAUGGAUCCGCGCCGCUUUAGCUAGUUGGUAAGGUAACGGCUUACCAAGGCAAGGAUGCGUAGCCGACCUGAGAGGGGGAUCGGCCACCCCAGAACUGAGACGCGGUCCAGACCACUACGGGAGGCAGCAGUAGGGAAUCGUCCGCAAUGGGCGGAAGCCUGACGUAACAACGCCGCGUGGGGGAUGAAAGUCUGGGGAUCUGGAAACUCUGUUAUUAGGGAAGAACAAAUGUGUAAGGAACUAGGCACGUCUUGACGGUACCGAAUCAGAAAGCCACGGCUAACUACGUG
rnacentral:rRNA from 1 species